rnacentral:lncRNA from 1 species
GUGGGUUUAAGUUUAGAUAUUUCACUUAAGGAACACAUGCUCAUGCUUGCAGAAGUUGCUAAUUUAUAGCCAGAAUUCUGGCAAAAAUCACAGCUCUGGCAAAGAUGCACCUGAGUGUGGAUUGAAUUACCAAAAUUCUACAGUUAAAUAACAGUCACAGACAACACGGAUACGAAGCAUGAAAGCUACUCACAUCCUCUUGGCCUCCACUUCUCCCCAUUUCAGAACUUUCUAUCAAACUGUCACAAUGCUUUUUUUUUUUCCCCUCAAUUAAAAUUGGUUUGAAUUUAGCUCACUGUGUGCUUACCCAGGGGAGCUAGCACUUCCAAUCCCUUCAUGCUCCUCAAGUGAAAUUUGCACCCAACCAAGCACUACCAUGCGUUAAAACAUAAUGCAAUUUUUUGUCGUAAGGAAGCUACUUGCAGUGUGAUGAAGUUCAGAAAUGCCAGUUGAUGCACUUCAUGGCAUUGCAAGAAACUUCCCCUCCCCCCCCCAGUUUGUUGACAAAUCAGUGGAAAGUAUAUACAACAUAUCAACCAAAACAUUCCAUCAAUUAAAAAAAAUCCCAAGAUUGCAGUGAUAAUAUCCCAUGCAAAUCUGAAGUCCAGUUAGGAAAUGUUCAGCAGCAGUCUCAUAAGUGAAAAGCCCAAGCCUCCCUACAGCCAGCCCGUUCCCCACCCACUGCAUGGAGCAGGCAUAGACAGGGCCAGAUAGCCCAGCAAAAAGGAAACGGAGGGGUUAGAGCUGCCUAAGCUAGAGUUGCCCUAGUAAAGGUGUCACCAGCACCUGGCCAGAUCAUGGAACUGAACAAGCAACAUCACCACCCACCCCUGUGCCAAGCAAACCUCUGCCUCCCCCACUUCACACUGCUGAGGUUAGACAUAGCUACAUUCAACUCUCACAUAACAUGGGUAGGCUGAAGCUUCAGCUUUAGUACAUGAGCAUUCUUAAAUGUACUUUAGCAUGGUCUAGUGGUGCUACUUGAAUGCUUUUUCGAAUUUCACAUCAGAAUCCUUCCUUGGGAAAACGCAGCAUUUUCAAUGCAUUCCUUCUCUCCAGGAAUAAUUCAGUUUUGCCUAAAGGUCUUUCAUUAUCC